UCACAACUCACAACUCACAACUCACAGGCUUGGCCGCUUGGGUUCUUAGCUUCUUGCAGCCUUCGCGAUUCACUGCCGUCAGAACUCAGAAGCUUGGGUUCGCCACCGUCGUCUGUCGCAACUCGUACUCUUGGGUUCACCAUUCACGACCGUCGCAGCCUCGGCUUCUUGCAGUUCCAAACAACAAUCCAGGUUUUUACCGUCGCAAGCUCGGGUUCGCAGUUGGCUACCAUCACAAGCUCGGGUUCGCGGUUCGCCACCGUCGCAACUCGUACUCUCGGGUUCACGACCGUCGCAGCCUCCGGUUCUUGCAACUCCAAACAACGAUCCAGUUUGCUAUCCUUUCGUUUUGAUUUCAUUAUACUUUGUUAUUUGAUUUUAUCUAUGCUAGAAACAUUGUUCUUAUAGUAAAAAGAUUCGAAAUGGUUUAUGCUUUAAUGGGCUUAUAUUUGUAGUGAUUUAAUUUUUUUUAUUUGAUGAUUUACAAUCUGG
rnacentral:lncRNA from 1 species